rnacentral:rRNA from 1 species
UUGUAAGCCGCCGCGGUAACACGGGGGGAGCAAGCGUUGUUCGGAAUCACUGGGCGUAAAGGGCGUGUAGGCGGUCAGGUAAGUGGGAUGUGAAAUCCCUCGGCUCACCCGAGGACCUGCAUCCCAAACUGCUUGGCUUGAGUAUGGGAGAGGAUGAGGGAAUUCCUGGUGUAGCGGUGAAAUGCGUAGAUAUCAGGAGGAACACCGGUGGCGAAAGCGCUCAUCUGGCCCAAUACUGACGCUGAGGCGCGAAAGCUAGGGGAGCAAACGGGAUUAGAAACCCUUGUAGUCC